UAGUAUUAAAAAGCAAUCUUUGUACAAUAUCAUUUGAGGAACUGGCAUUUGAGCCUUUAAGCUAAAAAAAAAUAAUAUUUUGCUCAAUAGUCAUAAUCUAGGAUGCUAUGGCAAAUGGCUAGCUGUCUUUGCUAAUUUAAGCUGAAGUAGACGCUAUUAGGAGUUUAAAAGUCAUCAGGAAAAUCCUUAGUAAAACAAAAACAACAAAAACACAAACAAA